rnacentral:rRNA from 1 species
ACGAACGCUGGCGGCGUGCUUAACACAUGCAAGUCGAACGGAGAGGCCCUGCUUUUGUGGGGUGCUCGAGUGGCGAACGGGUGAGUAACACGUGAGUAACCUGCCCUUGACUUUGGGAUAACUUCAGGAAACUGGGGCUAAUACCGGAUAGGAGCUCCUGCUGCAUGGUGGGGGUUGGAAAGUUUCGGCGGUUGGGGAUGAACUCGCGGCUUAUCAGCUUGUUGGUGGGGUAGUGGCUUACCAAGGCUUUGACGGGUAGCCGGCCUGAGAGGGUGACCGGCCACAUUGGGACUGAGAUACGGCCCAGACUCCUACGGGAGGCAGCAGUGGGGAAUAUUGCACAAUGGGCGGAAGCCUGAUGCAGCAACGCCGCGUGCGGGAUGACGGCCUUCGGGUUGUAAACCGCUUUCGCCUGUGACGAAGCGUGAGUGACGGUAAUGUGUAAAGAAGCACCGGCUAACUACGUG